rnacentral:rRNA from 1 species
UACGUAGGGUGCAAGCGUUUGUCCGGAAUUAUUGGGCGUAAAGAGCUCGUAGGCGGUUUGUUGCGUCGGCUGUGAAAUCCCGAGGCUCAACCUCGGGUCUGCAGUCGAUACGAGUAAACUAGAGUGCGGUAGGGGAGACUGGAAUUCCUGGUGUAGCGGUGAAAUGCGCAGAUAUCAGGAGGAACACCGAUGGCGAAGGCAGGUCUCUGGGCCACUACUGACGCUGAGAAGCGAAAGCAUGGGGGAGCGAACAGG